CUAAAAGCAAAACAUGGAGGAAAGUGCUGAAAAAAUGCUUUAUUUUACACACUUCAAAGCUAGAAGAAAGCUAAAAAAYACUCAUGUAGUGUAUUUAAAAGUUGAAUGAACAUUUUGAGCCAUAAAAAAGGCUUGCAAGAAGUAUACAUGUACAUAAUAUUGUGUGCUAGACAUGCAAUUGUACAAAGAAUACAGCACAACCUUCCAUAUGCACUACUGAUAUGCACAGUAAAACCAUGUUAAUAAUGGCUGACCAUGACAUACCACAGUAUGAUGUGAAUACUACAGUCAGCCAAGGGAAUUAUUACAAUGAUAUUUAGCUUGACAGCAAUCAUGAUACCAUUGAUGUGAGAUGUUAGUCUCACUAUAACACCAUGUCAAGCUACAGCCAUCAACCAAGU